AUUGAACGCUGGCGGCAGGCCUAACACAUGCAAGUCGAGCGGAUGAAGGGAGCUUGCUCCUGGAUUCAGCGGCGGACGGGUGAGUAAUGCCUAGGAAUCUGCCUGGUCGUGGGGGAUAACGUCCGGAAACGGGCGCUAAUACCUCAUACGUCCUGAGGGAGAAAGUGGGGGAUCUUCGGACCUCACGCUAUCAGAUGAGCCUAGGUCGGAUUAGCUAGUUUGUGGGGUAAAGGCCUACCAAGGCGACGAUCCGUAACUGGUCUGAGAGGAUGAUCAGUCACACUGGAACUGAGACACGGUCCAGACUCCUACGGGAGGCAGCAGUGGGGAAUAUUGGACAAUGGGCGAAAGCCUGAUCCAGCCAUGCCGCGUGUGUGAAGAAGGUCUUCGGAUUGUAAAGCACUUUAAGUUGGGAGGAAGGGCAGUAAGUUAAUACCUUGCUGUUUUGACGUUACCAACAGAAUAAGCACCGGCUAACUUCGUG
rnacentral:rRNA from 1 species